rnacentral:rRNA from 1 species
GUAGGGAAUUUUCGGCAAUGGGGGAAACCCUGACCGAGCAACGCCGCGUGAAGGAAGAAGUAAUUCGUUAUGUAAACUUCUGUCAUAGAGGAAGAACGGUGCGUGUAGGGAAUGACAUGCAAGUGACGGUACUCUAUAAGAAAGCCACGGCUAACUACGUGCCAGCAGCCGCGGUAAUACGUAGGUGGCGAGCGUUAUCCGGAAUUAUUGGGCGUAAAGAGGGAGCAGGCGGCACUAAGGGUCUGUGGUGAAAGAUCGAAGCUUAACUUCGGUAAGCCAUGGAAACCGUAGAGCUAGAGUGUGUGAGAGGAUCGUGGAAUUCCAUGUGUAGCGGUGAAAUGCGUAGAUAUAUGGAGGAACACCAGUGGCGAAGGCGACGAUCUGGCGCAUAACUGACGCUCAGUCCCGAAAGCGUGGGGAGCAAAUAGGAUUAGAAACCCUGGUAGUCC